AACGAACGCUGGCGGCAGGCUUAACACAUGCAAGUCGAGCGCCCCGCAAGGGGAGCGGCAGACGGGUGAGUAACGCGUGGGAAUCUACCCAUCUCUACGGAAUAACGCAUGGAAACGUGUGCUAAUACCGUAUCCGUCCUUCGGGAGAAAGAUUUAUCGGAGAUGGAUGAGCCCGCGUUGGAUUAGCUAGUUGGUGGGGUAAAGGCCUACCAAGGCGACGAUCCAUAGCUGGUCUGAGAGGAUGAACAGCCACACUGGGACUGAGACACGGCCCAGACUCCUACGGGAGGCAGCAGUGGGUAAUAUUGGACAAUGGGCGCAAUCCUGAUCCAGCCAUGCCGCGUGAGUGAUGAAGGCCCUAGGGCUGUAAAGCUCUUUCACCGGUGAAGAUAAUGACGGUAACCGGAGAAGAAGCCCCGGCUAACUUCGUGCCAGCCGCCGCGGUAAGAC
rnacentral:rRNA from 1 species